GGCAGUGUGGCAUAGUGGGCUGAGUGUCGGACUAUGACUCUGGAGGCCUGGGUUCAAAUCCCAGCUCUGCCA